CGCGAAUAGCUCAUUACAACAGCUAUAAUUCACUUGAUCUUGACAUAUCCUACUUGGAUAACUGUGGUAAUUCUAGAGCUAAUACAUGCACUAAAGCCCUGACCUUACGGAAGGGGUGCAUUUAUUAGAACAAAACCAAGCCGCUUGCGGUUUUUUGUUGACUCAGAAUAACUCAGCUGAUCGCAUGGUCUUGUACCGGCGACGUGUCUUUCGAGUAUCUGCCUUAUCAACUUUCGAUGGUAGUGUAUCUGACUACCAUGGUGGUGACGGGUAACGGAGGAUAAGGGUUCGACUCCGGAGAAGGCGCCUGAGAAAUGGCGACUACGUCUAAGGAAGGCAGCAGGCGCGAAAAUUACCCACUCUCAGCACGAGGAGGUAGUGACGAAAAAUAACGAGACCGUUCUCUUAUGAGGCCGGUCAUCGGAAUGGGUACAAUUUAAACCCUUUAACGAGUAUCUAUGAGAGGGCAAGUCUGGUGCCAGCAGCCGCGGUAAUUCCAGCU
rnacentral:rRNA from 1 species